AUUUCUCUGGAGCUUCCUGCCUCUUGGAGGUCUUCUAAGGGAGGAGGACAGCUUCCUUUUUCAUCAGUUGAAUCCUUGGGCAAAAAUCGAUAAAUCAUAAAAUUAUUAACAAAAGCCAAUGUAUCAGAGUGUGCAGCACAACUAAUAGUUUAUAAGCUUUCUUUUAUAAACGUCCAUAACUGACAUAGCUCUGCUACUCAGAGUGACUAUGGAACUCAGAGAUGUUCUUCUGCCUCUAGGUACUUAUGACAGAGGUCAUGUGCCAGCCAAGGUUUCAAAAUUGAUAUCCCAUCUCAAGCUGCAAAGAAUCCUUAGGGCAGGCAGCGCUAUUAGAUGAGGCAGCAGGAAUUUUGAUACAGGCAAAAUGAAGAAUGUGCAUCAGAGAUAUUUCAGCAGUUUUUCUUGGGAAUCCCACCAGGAUCAGGUAGACCUGUCAUCUCUAUCUGUGCCAUGUUAGAACUGAUUAUACAGAUUCACCAAUCUUCCACUUGCCUCCUGGUUGCAGAAGGGUUAUCAGACUGCUUUAGCCCUGUGGUGACCCCAAAUCCAGGCCCAGGCUAGUUCUGCACUGAACCUAAUAAGCCCUGCUGCUAGAGCACUCAGUACAGAGCAAGGAGCCUCACUGAGGAUUCCAAGCAGCCACUCUGGGUCCAGCAAGAAGAGUUCUGAGCCAGAGUUAACAAGCUCAGCUGACCUUGGAGUAACUCAUUAUAGAGAACUGGAAAGUUUCUGCGGUGACCUGCACAUCUAUACCUUUUGGAGGUCAAGUGUAUUUUGGCUCAGAAUAAUGAAGAGCUGGAUACAUGCAUGGGGUCUUGAUUCUGUUGCAUUUUCCUUUUAAUACUCUGGAUAGUAUUUUAGAUUUCUUUAUGGAAGUCCUAAUGCCUGAAAUUACUUUUUUUUUUUCAGACAGUACUUAAUUUUUCUUAUUCUUGUCUUUUUGUUUGACCUGAAAAGCAAUUUCUUCUUUCUGUUAUAGUCCAGCAAGUUCAAAUCAUGCUAGAUAGCCCAGAGCAACAAACAUGAAAACCCUACAUUUCUCAUUUAAAAAACAUAGUUUAAAUUAAAA
ensembl:lncRNA